rnacentral:rRNA from 1 species
GGAAGGAUCAUUACUGAAUUGUCAACACGAGUUGUUGCUGGUCCUCAAAUGGGGGCAUGUGCACGCUCUGUUUACACAUCCACUCACACCUGUGCACCCUCUGUAGUUCUGUGGCUGGGGGGACUCUGUCCUUCUGCUGCGGUUCUAUGUCUUUACACACACUCUGUAUUAAAGUCUCAUGGAAUGUAUCCUGCGUUUAACGCAAUACAAUACAACUUUCAGCAACGGAUCUCUUGGCUCUCGCAUCGAUGAAGAACGCAGCGAAAUGCGAUAAGUAAUGUGAAUUGCAGAAUUCAGUGAAUCAUCGAAUCUUUGAACGCACCUUGCGCCCUUUGGCUAUUCCGAAGGGCAUGCCUGUUUGAGUAUCAUGAACACCUCAACUCUCAUGGUUUGCCAUGACGAGCUUGGACUCUGGGGGUCUUGCUGGCCUGCGGUCAGCUCCCCUCAAAUGGAUCAGCUAUCCAGUGUUUGGCGGCGUCACAGGUGUGAUAAAUAUCUACGCUUGUGGUUUUCUGCCAAGUAACCUUCAGCGAUGGAGGUUUGCUGGGGCUCAUAAAUGUCUCUCCUCAGUGAAGACAGCUUUGUGAAUGUUUGAUCUCAAAUCAGGUAGGACUACCCGCUGAACUUAAGCAUAUCAAUAAGCGGAGGAAAAGAAACUAACAAGGAUUCCCCUAGUAACUGCGAGUGAAGCGGGAAGAGCUCAAAUUUAAAAUCUGGCUGCCUCUGGCCGUCCGAGUUGUAGUCUGGAGAAGCGUUUUCCGUGUUGGACCGUGUAUAAGUCUCUUGGAACAGGGCGUCAUAGAGGGUGAGAAUCCCGUCUUUGACACGGACUACCAAUGCUUUGUGAUGCGCUCUCAAAGAGUCGAGUUGUUUGGGAAUGCAGCUCAAAAUGGGUGGUAAAUUCCAUCUAAAGCUAAAU